ACGUCGACCGGCGCACGGGUGAGUAACGCGUAUCCAACCUUCCCAUUAUUGUGGGAUAACCUGCCGAAAGGCAGACUAAUACCGCAUAGUCUUCGAUGACGGCAUCAGAUUUGAAGUAAAGAUUUAUCGGUAAUGGAUGGGGAUGCGUCUGAUUAGCUUGUUGGCGGGGUAACGGCCCACCAAGGCGACGACCAGUAGGGGUUCUGAGAGGAAGGUCCCCCACAUUGGAACUGAGACACGGUCCAAACUCCUACGGGAGGCAGCAGCG
rnacentral:rRNA from 1 species